rnacentral:rRNA from 1 species
GCAAGUCGAACGGCAGCGCGGGAUCAAUCCUGGCGGCGAGUGGCGAACGGGUGCGUAAUACAUCGGAACGUGCCCAAUCGUGGGGGAUAACGUAGCGAAAGCUGCGCUAAUACCGCAUACGCUCCACGGAUGAAAGCAGGGGAUCGCAAGACCUUGCGCGAAUGGAGCGGCCGAUGGCAGAUUAGGUAGUUGGUGAGGUAAAGGCUCACCAAGCCUUCGAUCUGUAGCUGGUCUGAGAGGACGACC